AUUGAACGCUGGCGGCAGGCCUAACACAUGCAAGUCGAGCGAGCGGCGGACGGGUGAGUACUGUAUGGGGACUGCCCGAUAGAGGGGGAUAACUACUGGAAACGGUAGCUAAUACCGCAUACUAUCGGAUGACCCAUACGGGAUUAGCUAGUAGGUGAGGUAAUGGCUUACCUAGGCGACGAUCCAUAGCUGUACUGAGAGGAUGAUCAGCCACACUGGGACGGAGACACGGCCCAGACUCCUACGGAGGCAGCAGUGGGGAAUAUUGCACAAUGGGCGCAAGUCUGAUGCAGCCAUGCCGCGUGUAUGAAGAAGGUUUUCGGGUUGUAAAGUUCUUUCAUUCGUGAGGCGGUACCGACCGAAAAAGCCCCGGCUAACUCCGUGCCAGCAGCCGCGGUAAUAC
rnacentral:rRNA from 1 species